rnacentral:rRNA from 1 species
CAGCCCUAAACGAUGCGCGUUAGGUGUAUCGGUGACCACGAGUCACCGAGGUGCCGAAGGGAAACCGUGAAACGUGCCGCCUGGGAAGUACGGUCGCAAGGCUGAAGCUUAAAGGAAUUGGCGGGGGAGCACCACAACGGGUGGAGCCUGCGGUUUAAUUGGACUCAACGCCGGAAAUCUCACCGGAUAGGACAGACAUAUGAUAGUCGGGCUGAAGACUCUACUUGAUGAUCUGAGAGGUGGUGCAUGGCGUCAGUGACU